rnacentral:rRNA from 1 species
UGCGUAGGCGGUUUUAUAAGUUAGAGGUGAAAAUUCGGGGCUCAACUCCGGACGUGCCUCUAAUACUGUAUGACUAGAGAAUAGAUGCGGUAGGCGGAAUGUAUGGUGUAGCGGUGAAAUGCGUAGAGAUCAUACAGAACACCGAUUGCGAAGGCAGCUUACCAAACUAUGUCUGACGUUGAGGCACGAAAGCGUGGGGAGCAAACAGGAUUAGAUACCCCCGUA